UCUUAAUGAUGACUGUUUUUGUGAUCCUGAUUGUUGUCACUGAGGGCUAAUUACAACUGAUUUAAUGAGUCUGAAAG